GACGAACGCUGGCGGCGUGCUUAACACAUGCAAGUCGAACGGGCCCGCUCUCUUUUUUGGGGGGGGGUUGAGUGGCGAACGGGUGAGUAUCACGUGAGUAACCUGCCCCCUGCUCCUGGAUAACUGCUUGAAAGGGCGGCUAAUACGGGGUGUGCCGGCUGGUCCGCAUGGGCCUGGUCGGGAUAGUUUCAUCUUCGGGUGUUUCGGUGGGGGAUGGGCUCGCGGCCUAUCAGCUUGUUGGUGGGGUGAUGGCCCACCAAGGCGGUGACGGGUAGCCGGCCUGAGAGGGUGGGCGGCCACACUGGGACUGAGACACGGCCCAGACGCCGGCGGGAGGCAGCAGUGGGGGGUAUUGCACAAUGGGCGGAAGCCUGAUGCAGCGACGUCGCGUGAGGGAUGGAGGCCUUCGGGUUGUGAACCUCUUUCUCCGGUGGUGAAGGCCCUGUCCGUUGCGGCGGGGUUGACGGUAGCCGGGGAUGAAGCGCCGGCUAACUACGUG
rnacentral:rRNA from 1 species